AGAGAAGAGGGUGCUGGAAAUAGCCCCCUCCCCUUGGGCAUGCGGCAUGGAGAGAGAGGCGCAAGUUGGUGCGUCUCCUACUUCCAUUAGGAAACCUUAUGGUUUAGGGAGUUUGGAUUUGAUUCAAACUUGAAGGGUCCUAUUUAUAACCCAUGAAGGUAUUUGAUUUGAUCUAAAAAUUUUUGUCUAUUUAAGGAGG
rnacentral:lncRNA from 1 species